rnacentral:siRNA from 1 species
GAAUGGUGAGUAGUAUACGAUA